rnacentral:hammerhead_ribozyme from 1 species
AUCCAACUGAUGGGUCCCAAAUGGGAAGAAAUGCACAUCCUGGAU